GUUGUGGGCGGGGCUAAAUUCGACUGGCAUCCAGGCUAGGUACCUUUGUAAAAAUGUGGAUAAGUAUUUGU